CCUAGUAACGGCGAGUGAAGCGGCAACAGCUCAAAUUUGAAAGCUGGCUCCGGCCCGCAUUGUAAUUUGCAGAGGAUGCUUUUGGCGAGGUGCCUUCCGAGUUCCCUGGAACGGGACGCCAUAGAGGGUGAGAGCCCCGUAUGGAUGGACACCAAACCUGUGUAAAGCUCCUUCAACGAGUCGAGUAGUUUGGGAAUGCUGCUCUAAAUGGGAGGUAAAUCUCUUCUAAAGCUAAAUACCGGCCAGAGACCGAUAGCGCACAAGUAGAGUGAUCGAAAGAUGAAAAGCACCUUGAAAAGGGGGUUAAACAGUACGUGAAAUUGUUGAAAGGGAAGCAUUUAUGACCAGACUUGCGCCGGGCAGCUCAUCAGGGGUUCUCCCCUGUGCACUCUGCCCGGCUCAGGCCAGCAUCGGUUCUCGUGGGAGGAUAAGAACAGUGGGAACGUGGCCCCCCUCCGGGGGGGUGUUAUAGCCCAUUGUACGAUACUCUCGUGGGGACCGAGGUUCGCGCUCCGCAAGGAUGCUGGCGUAAUGGUCAUCAAUGACCCGUCUUGAAACACGGACCAAGGAGUCGUCCAUUAGAGCGAGCGUUUGGGUGUAAAACCCGCACGCGUAAUGAAAGUGAACGCAGGUGAGAGCUUCGGCGCAUCAUCGACCGAUCCUGAUGUCUUCGGAUGGAUUUGAGUAAGAGUUUUAACGGACGGACCCGAAAGACAGUGAACUAUGCUUGUAUAGGGUGAAGCCAGAGGAAACUCUGGUGGAGGCUCGCAGCGGUUCUGACGUGCAAAUCGAUCGUCAAAUAUGAGCAUGGGGGCGAAAGACUAAUCGAACUGUCUAGUAGCUGGUUACCGCCGAAGUUUCCCUCAGGAUAGCAGUGUUGUUCUUCAGUUUUAUGAGGUAAAGCGAAUGAUUAGGGACUCGGGGGCGCUUAUUAGCCUUCAUCCAUUCUCAAACUUUAAAUAUGUAAGAAGCCCUUGUUACUUAAUUGAACGUGGGCAUUCGAAUGUACCAACACUAGUGGGCCAUUUUUGGUAAGCAGAACUGGCGAUGCGGGAUGAACCGAACGCGGGGUUAAGGCGCCAGAGUGUACGCUCAUCAGACACCACAAAAGGCGUUAGUACAUCUUGACAGCAGGACGGUGGCCAUGGAAGUCGGAAUCCGCUAAGGACUGUGUAACAACUCACCUGCCGAAUGUACUAGCCCUGAAAAUGGAUGGCGCUCAAGCGUACCGCCCAUACCCCGCCCUCAGGGUAGAAACGAUGCCCUGAGGGAGUAGGCGGCCGUGGGGGUCAGUGACGAAGCCUA
rnacentral:rRNA from 1 species